UACGUAGGGUGCAAGCGUUAAUCGGAAUUACUGGGCGUAAAGCGUGCGCAGGCGGUUGUGCAAGACAGAUGUGAAAUCCCCGGGCUCAACCUGGGAAUUGCAUUUGUGACUGCACGGCUAGAGUGUGUCAGGAGGGGGGUAGAAUUCCACGUGUGAGCAGUGAAAUGCGUAGAGAUGUGGAGGAACACCGAUGGCGGAAGGCAGCCCCCUGGGUCAAGAUUGACGACUCGAUG
rnacentral:rRNA from 1 species